UGUCUGCUGGAUUUAGAAAAGGGCCGAAGGUCAGAAAGGGAAACAACAAACCUAAGGGCUGCCGGGAGUUCUGUAGCUCUUGCAGCAUCUCCUCCCCACCCUUCUUCCCAGCAGAGGAAGCUACCAGAGGAGGAAGGACAGCAAGGAGAGCCUAUCUGACGACGUGGAAGAAGGAAGUUUCUGCUCUGUGCCUGCUUGCUAUCAGCUUGUUAGCAAGUCCAUUCCUUCACUAGGAUCCUAGCACCUCUACUGAAGACCAGUUGAAAUCUCCAGCCUUGUGGACUAAGGGGAUUCUGGAUUCAUGAAUUUUCCAUUUAUAGCAAGCCAUUGGAUUAGCCAGACCAUAUAGCCUGUAAAUUAUUCAAAUAAAUCCCCUUUCUAUAUGUUGAGAUUCA